AAAAACAUGUCUUUUUGAAUAUUAUAUAAGGUCUAACCUGCCCAAUGAGGAAUUGAAUGGCUGCGGUAUUCUAACCGUGCUAAGGUAGCAUAAUCAUUUGUCUUUUAAUUGAGGGCUUGUAUGAAAGGUUGGAUGAAGUAAUAACUUUCUUUAAUUUAACUUAUGAAUUAAAUUUUUUAGUCAAAAAGCUAAAAUAUUUUUAUUGGACGAGAAGACCCUAUAGAUCUUUACAGGUCAUUAAAUUUAAUAAUUUGGGGAAUUACUUAUUUUUAAUUAAUUUCUUGUUUGGUUGGGGUGAUUGUAGAAUUUUAUGAACUUCUAUUGUUUAGUUUUCAAUAAUUAUUGUUUUAUUGAUCCAUAUAUAAUGAUUAAAAGAUUAAGUUACCUUAGGGAUAACAGCGUAAUUCUUUCGGAGAGUUCAUAUUGAUGAAGGAGUUUGCGACCUCGAUGUUGGAUUAAAAUAAGUAUUAGGUGUAGCAGCUUAAUAACUAGGUCUGUUCGACCUUUGAAGUUUUACAUGAUCUGAGUUC
rnacentral:rRNA from 1 species